UCAACGGAGAGUUUGAUCCUGGCUCAGGACGAACGCUGGCGGCGUGCUUAACACAUGCAAGUCGAACGAUGAAGCCCAGCUUGCUGGGUGGAUUAGUGGCGAACGGGUGAGUAACACGUGGGUGAUCUGCCCUGCACUCUGGGAUAAGCCUGGGAAACUGGGUCUAAUACCGGAUAUGACCUCGGGAUGCAUGUC
rnacentral:ncRNA from 1 species